GGGUGGCAUUUCUCAGACCUCCCUCUUGGUAGGGUAUAGUUGCCUCACAAGUUAGAUGGAAGUUGAGGAACCAUGGCCACUCUCCAGGGUAGGCCGGGGUUACAAUGUCUGUCUACAAUGUCUGUUACAACGUCUGUCGGAGGUUGUUUUGUAAAGGACUUCUGGAGAGUGUAGCUCCAGUCCCUUGAAUUCUGGAUGUCUCUGGAAUCUAGUCUGAUUGUUCCCACCUCACCUCACCUCACCUCACCUCACCUCACCUCACCUCACCCUAUGGCUGCUCCAAUCUUUGCUGCCUCAGACAGCCUAGGCUAGAGCCAUGUCCCUUACCCUUCAUCUG
rnacentral:lncRNA from 1 species